GCCCUUAUAGUUGGAUCCUGGCUCAGGAUGAACGCUAGCUACAGGCUUAACACAUGCAAGUCGAGGGGAAACGAUAGAGAAAGCUUGCUUUUUCUAGGCGUCGACCGGCGCACGGGUGAGUAACGCGUAUCCAACCUGCCCAUCACUUGGGGAUAACCUUGCGAAAGUAAGACUAAUACCCAAUGACGUCUCUAGAAGACAUCUGAAGGAGAUUAAAGAUUUAUCGGUGAUGGAUGGGGAUGCGUCUGAUUAGCUUGUUGGCGGGGUAACGGCCCACCAAGGCGACGAUCAGUAGGGGUUCUGAGAGGAAGGUCCCCCACAUUGGAACUGAGACACGGUCCAAACUCCUACGGGAGGCAGCAGUGAGGAAUAUUGGUCAAUGGACGAGAGUCUGAACCAGCCAAGUAGCGUGCAGGAUGACGGCCCUAUGGGUUGUAAACUGCUUUUAUAAGGGAAUAAAGUGAGUCUCGUGAGACUUUUUGCAUGUACCUUAUGAAUAAGGACCGGCUAAUUCCGUGCCAGCAGCCGCGGUAAUACGGAAGGUCCGGGCGUUAUCCGGAUUUAUUGGGUUUAAAGGGAGCGUAGGCCGGAGAUUAAGCGUGUUGUGAAAUGUAGACGCUCAACGUCUGCACUGCAGCGCGAACUGGUUUCCUUGAGUACGCACAAAGUGGGCGGAAUUCGUGGUGUAGCGGUGAAAUGCUUAGAUAUCACGAAGAACUCCGAUUGCGAAGGCAGCUCACUGGAGCGCAACUGACGCUGAAGCUCGAAAGUGCGGGUAUCGAACAGGAUUAGAUACCCUGGUAGUCCGCACGGUAAACGAUGGAUGCCCGCUGUUGGUCUGAAUAGGUCAGCGGCC
rnacentral:rRNA from 1 species